CUCAGUUUUCAAUUGCUGAUGAGUAAUUCUGACUGUGAAGAAGUCAACAGGAAUGGGGAGAGCUUGUCUUGCAUUCCAGGCAGGAAGGGAAACCUCAGGAGAGGUCCUCCAGUGAAUGCCUAAGUCAUCCUCAGCAGAGGGAAAGAGGGAAAGCCACCUCACGGGCAAACCCGUAAGCAACAACGAUGCUUGGCAUCAUAACGACCAGUGAAGCGUUGUCAAUGCCAAGAUGAAUUCCUAAUGAAUGGAAAAACCACAAACUGUUUAAGUAACCUGCCUCAACAAGAAGCAGGCACCAAAGACAAGCAGCUGUUAUGCUGGUUGUUAUAGCUGGCUGGGAGCAGCAACUCCCAAUCCCAUGAGAAGUCAAGGUGCAGGACUCACCGAUUUAGGUACAAGAUUUUGCCUGACAACUGUUGAAGGGUACAUCACCCGUCUGUCCUCAGAGCCUUCACCUUAUCAUCUAGAUAUGUGCUGUUUUUGUGACUCUAUCUACAAGCCUGCAUCUGCCUUGAAAAAGACAGCACGGCUGUGUCUGAAGUUUCCUGUGUCCACUGUCACUCCCAUCUUUGAUAUUGCUGAGUCCACAACUAUCACAUUGUAAGGAAACAUAUGUAUGUAAGAACUGUUUGAUGUUUUAAGCACAUUCAUUUGGUCAUUUCCUUAUUUUGGUGUAUUAUAUCUUACACAUUUGAGUCCCCAAAACAUCAAGUUUUGUUAGGUCAGUUAAGGUAAAUAUAUAAGUAAACCAAAAUCAUCUUGUGUAGCCAUCUAAAUUUUGUCUCAGAGCAAAAUGUUGGAAGAUGUUAUCCUUUAGAGCCAUGUGAAAUAUUAAGUUCACAGGACUGGAUGAGAAGUGGGAGGGGGGAUGAAAUAAAGGAAGAGAAGAUUAAAUAGACA
rnacentral:lncRNA from 1 species